UGUCGAUACCUGUCCAAAACAGAACGACCCGCGAACCAAAGAUCACCACUCUCGGUGGGCCGGUUUCUUAGCCGAUUCCUUGCCCGCCGGAUCCGUGGUUUCGCGUAUCGGCAUGAUCGGGAGCUUUAUCUCGGUCUUGUCGUGCGCGUUGCUUCCGGAUAUCACAAAACCCCGGCACGAAAAGUGUCAAGGAACAUGCAAACGAACGGCUGGCAUUCGCCUCCCCGGAGACGGAGUGUGGGCGGAUGCUGUGCUGCGAACUGAAGUCUAAAACGACUCUCGGCAACGGAUAUCUCGGCUCUCGCAUCGAUGAAGAACGUAGCGAAAUGCGAUACUUGGUGUGAAUUGCAGAAUCCCGUGAACCAUCGAGUCUUUGAACGCAAGUUGCGCCCCAAGCCUUCUGGCCGAGGGCACGUCUGCCUGGGUGUCACAAAUCGUCGUCCCUCACCAUCCUUUGCUGAUGCGGGACGGAAGCUGGUCUCCCGUGUGUUACCGCACGCGGUUGGCCUAAAUCCGAGCCAAGGACGCCUGGAGCGUACCGACAUGCGGUGGUGAACUUGAUCCAUUACAUUUUAUCGGUCGCUCUUGUCCGGAAGCUGUAGAUGACCCAAAGUCCAUAUAGCGACCCCAGGUCAGGCGGGAUUACCC
rnacentral:misc_RNA from 1 species